CCUACGGGAGGCAGCAGUGAGGAAUAUUGGACAAUGGGCGCAAGCCUGAUCCAGCCAUGCCGCGUGCAGGAAGAAGCAUCUAUGGUGUGUAAACUGCUUUUGUACAGGAAGAAGCACUCCCUCGUGAGGGAGCUUGACGGUACUGUAAGAAUAAGGACCGGCUAACUCCGUGCCAGCAGCCGCGGUAAUACGGAGGGUCCGAGCGUUAUCCGGAAUCAUUGGGUUUAAAGGGUCCGUAGGCGGUUUAAUAAGUCAGUGGUGAAAUCUGGUCGCUCAACGAUCAAACGGCCAUUGAUACUGUUAGACUUGAAUUAUAAGGAAGUAACUAGAAUAUGUAGUGUAGCGGUGAAAUGCUUAGAUAUUACAUGGAAUACCAAUUGCGAAGGCAGGUUACUACUUAUGGAUUGACGCUGAUGGACGAAAGCGUGGGGAGCGAACAGGAUUAGAUACCCUGGUAGUCCACGCCGUAAACGAUGGAUACUAGCUGUUCGGAGCAAUCUGAGUGNGUAGACGAAGAGAUAAGUAUACCACCGUCGGAGGUACGUUCGCGAGAAGUAGAACGUAAGUAAGUAAGUAGUAGUACGUAGUAGAGAGCGACGACGACGACGACGGAGGGAGGNG
rnacentral:rRNA from 1 species